rnacentral:lncRNA from 1 species
CUUUUCUACUGUCCUGGUGAAAUGGACUCAGUGUUCCUGAAACUAGAAAACCCUGGUGGUGCUAUUUCCCAUGAAGUAGCUUGGCAGUGACUCAAGUUCAGAAGCUGACAGGUGACAGAGCUGGUGCACAAUCUAUAACUUGCUCAAGGUUGGCCAGAAACCUGUGGCAGAAAGUAGAAUUGCAAUACCCUUACAAUUACGGUUGCAAAAAUGUUUAAACUCACUUCUAACAGCCAUCAUCCAA